CUGUCCUGUAGAUCGUUGCGGAUCAGUCAUGCAUCCAUGCAGCGGAGACAAAGAAGCCUGGUUCCCUGUGAAAACAUUGCGGGGCAGCCUGGGCACUGCUGUGGCCGCUGUGAUUGAAGCAACAUCGGCUGUCC